UGGGAUAUAGCCAAGUGGUAAGGCAAGGGACUUUGACUCCCUCAUCGCGCUGGUUCGAAUCCAGCUAUCCCAGCCA
rnacentral:tRNA from 1 species